AUUUUAUUAUUAGUUCUAAUACUACUACUACAUUUGGGGUUCAAGAAAUCAUUUGAAUUUUUUAUCCUUAACCAUAUAAAGAAUAGUUAUUCAGAUAUGCUUAAAAGAGCAGGCCAAAACUAUGCCUGCCCCACGUCCAAAUGAACAUGUAAUCAAGAGCAAGACCUGGGCCAUUUGUGAUGGCACUAAGGCCCAAAUUAUCAGAGAUGGGCUGUUUGGCCUUGCUUUCUUACACCAAACCCAGUCCCAACUAAAAAAAAGAAAUAUUCACUAAGAAUAUCCAUAUUGUUCAAAAGUGUUUAAUAAUUGCAAUCAAAGAAAAGCCAUGUUCACCUAUUCGAAUUUAGUGAAAGAGGGACCAUUAGAAUCCUGGCUUUAAGACUCGGAUUGCUUAUCUAGUUACUAGAAACCGAUCGUGACAACACAAAGCAAAUCUGAUUAUUUCUAGGUUGAUUCGAGCCAAGAUUGCUGAACGAAAUUACUGAACUUGCUAUUGAAAUGGAAAACAUGAUUAUCAAAUGGAUUUAACUUAUGCUACCUUAAAUUAUUAACAUGGAAAUGAUGAGCUCAAACUCCAGAUUUACUGCCCAGUUUGCUCAAGUAUUUACCUACUCAUAUGUUUCAUCACACAUAAGGAACAUCAUUGAGACUAUAUUUGUAUCAAGGCUGAUUAUUCACAUAUCUAAUACAAAUUUGAUAACUCAACAUCUAGAACCAGGCUGUUUACUUAAGGAAAACUAGACUACAUAUGAAAGCUUCAAAUAAUUGUGACUGCUUCAUGUUCAGAACCAAACGAAAAUGAGACAGGUUUAAAGACCAAUUCCCUCAGCACAUAAAAUGACAGCCAACACCUAAAACAGCCCAAGCAUAGUCCAGUCUCAGUCAAAUUACAAUUGUAUACAAAUUGGAACUAAAAUACAUAAAGCUAUUGUGUUUAAACUAUUUAGGCAUCAGUACAUGUAGUCCAAACAGAUAAGAUUCAAGAAGCAAAAGGUAAGUAUUUCCAUUUGUAUUCCCACUUCAAAUCAGCACCAAUAUAUCAGGAAAGAAAGCAAAUACCUGGACUGGAAAAAGAGAACAAAAGAAGGAAGAGCAGUCAGCAGCAACGGAUAACACAGUAUCACCAACGGAAAAUCACCAGCAGUAAUGGAAUAGUUUAAACAAAAACCAACACAGCAAUACCACUCUCCAAAUCAGAAAUACACUCAAACCAAAGACCAUAUUGAUUUGUAGAACCAAACAGCAAUACUGAUACCAAAACAGAACAAACUGAGCUCGGAUAAGUUCAUAAACAGAAUCAAUAGACUGCCAAAUAGAUUCAACAAUCAAAAGGGGUAAGAAGUAGUGCUUGGAAUCCAAAUUUUGCCUUGAACUCAAUGGAACAAUACCCUUUCUUUUAAAUUCUCUCUCAGAAUUGAUUCAAGACCCAAGACAAAUAGAACCUAAGAGAAUUGAUUGCUUCUUUCCUAAAACUUAUGAUAUUCUUUCAAGUUUGACCUAUGAAAACUGAUUUCAAAAGCCCGCCCCUUAACUUUGUCGUAAGCCCCUCCAUCUAUACUCAAAUCCUUUCACCCUUUUCAGCCCUUCUUUUUCUUUUAAUGUUGAAAAAGAAACCCUUUUAUUAUUACCCCAUGCUUCUUUUUUACUUUCCAGCUUUAUCUAUUCUUCUAAUAUGUGAACCCUUUUAGCUUUUUCAUUAUUACUUACUGUUUUUAAUUUCUAAAUUAGUAAAAAACAUUCAACAGAUUAUUACUCCCACAACCCAUUAGAGCCCUACUUAUUACUCAGUGGCCCCUUAUUAAUAAAGCAUUAGUUUAAGGGUACAUCAGGACCCUACUCGACAGACUACCCAGUAAAACCCUAUUUUCAAACUUCCAGUCUAUCCAAAAUACCCUUGACAAACCCUGACCCCAUACUAUACCUCAUUAGCUAUAACCAAAUACACCUAAUAAAACUCAAUAAACAGUUUAAACUAGAACUUAGAUUAGAUCAAAAAUGGUAUAAAAAAUGAAGGGAAUAAGGUAACCAUAUUGGGAACCAAUCAUGGUUAACUUAGACAAAAUGAAUGUGCCAGAAAAACACCAAUAUGAUGAACAACAGGAACAAACUGAAACAGUAUGAUGCACAAACAGAACGAAGAGUGAGCUUAUCAUCAUUCUAAAUCAAACCUAUACAAAAAUGUAGGGUCACUUGACAGUGAACUAAAUGCCUAAGGAUCAGACAUAACACAUUCUACAUUAAACCAUUCGACGAGAACUACUGAGCUUCAAACAAGAAUGAAUUAAUUGAGGAAACUAUUUAUAACCUAUGUUAUCAAGUGUCAGGAGAUACCAAGUAAAAGGUAUGAUGGAGAGGAAGAAGAGAAAUAAACAAAAGAUGAAUUAUAAACCUAUUUUAGGCAAACAAAUAAUCGAUUGAACUAUUCAGACGAAUAUUGGAGUAUUAAUCUAACAAAAAUAAGAAAGAGAGGCGGAUUAAGAACCUAUAAUUAACUUAAACUAAAACCUAAGAAAAGCUAAUUAAAACUUAACACAAACAAACGAAAAUAUAUAUAGAAAAAAGAAAAAGAAGAUAUUAAAGAAAACUUAUUGAUUUUUCGGAUUCCAAACGACAUGCUAUUCGAAGUCGAUUUCCAGUUAGUAUUAUAUGCCUAUUUCGUCAGAAACAUGCCUAUAAUACUAACUAGAAACCAACUUGACCCUGACAACUUCGAAGCAGUCUCGAACCCCUGAACCCUAGAUCCGUCAUUUGAUGAGUUUAAUCGAAUUUAGACCAAAUUGGUAAAGGAUUAGGGGAGAGGGUGUUCUGGUGGAUAGCGGGUGUGAUUUUGGGUGGAUUGGACGACCUAGGGUUUUCGCUCGAAUCUUCGAUUGAAGAUUCGAGACGGUUCGUGAUGAUUCGAGUUUAACGAAGUAUGUAUUAGGACUGAGGGGGGUCAGAUGGUCAAGGGGUGUUAGUUUCUGGCCGGCGGAUCACCGGCCGUUGGGUUUCAGGCGAGAGGAUUCAAUGGCGGCUAGGGUUCUUAGAGAGACCAAAUGGUCUCUGGUCUAUGAUCUAAGAGACGAAGGGGGAGGGUGUUUGGCUAUGGGGGUGAGUAAAGGAUUUAGGUUUAUAUACGAAGGGGGAAAAUGAUCCUGGCCGUUAGUCCUGCUAAGAUCAACUGCUA
rnacentral:lncRNA from 1 species